CCGGGACCAUCCGGUAAGGCUAAAUACUCCCGAGAGACCGAUAGCGAACCAGUACCGUGAGGGAAAGGUGAAAAGCACUUCGAACAGAAGAGUGAAAUAGUUCCUGAAACCGUGCGCCUACAAGCGGUCGGAGCUCGUUAAUGAGUGACGGCGUGCCUUUUGCAUAAUGAACCUACGAGUUGCCUUUGCCGGCAAGGUUAAGUGUGACGACACACGUAUCCGAAGCGAAAGCGAGUCUGAACAGGGCGUAUAGUCGGCAGUGGCAGACGCGAAACCAAGUGAUCUACCCUUGGCCAGGUUGAAGGCUGGGUAACACCAGCUGGAGGACCGCACCAAUAAGCGUUGAAAAGCUUCUGGAUGAGCUGAGGGUAGGGGUGAAAGGCUAAUCAAACUUGGAGAUAGCUCGUACUCCCCGAAAUGCAUUUAGGUGCAGCCUUGUGAGUUACUAAUGUGAGGUAGAGCGACUGAUAAGAUGCGAGGGCUUCACCGCCUAUCAAGUCUUGAUAAACUCCGAAUGCGCAUUAGUUCUAUCACAGGAGUGAGGGCAUGGGUGCUAAGGUCCAUGUCCUAAAGGAGAAGAAUCCAGACCAUCAGCUAAGGUCCCCAAAUAAACACUAAGUUGAACUAACGAAGUCAGAUUGCUAAGACAGCUAGGAUGUUGGCUUGGAAGCAGCCAUUCAUUUAAAGAGUGCGUAACAGCUCACUAGUCGAGGAGUUUGGCGUGGAUAAUAAUCGGGCAUCAAGCAAUUUACCGAAGCUAUGGGAUCAGUAAUGAUCGGUAGGGGAGCAUUCCACUCUGCGUCGAAGGUGAAGCGUGAGCUUUGCUGGAGCGUGUGGAAAAGCAAAUGUAGGUAUAAGUAACGAUAAAGGGGGUGGGAAACCCCCUCGCCGAAAGACUAAGGUUUCCUGAUCAACGCUAAUCGGAUCAGGGUCAGUCGGGUCCUAAGGCUCAGCCGAACGGCGAUGCCGAUGGCAGAAACGGUUAAUAUUCCGUUACUACCUUCAGGAGUGACGUGGAGACGCAGUAGUGACAGUGCCGCCAUCUGACGGAAUAGAUGGUUGAAGGGUGUAGGAGUCGAUCAUGGCAGGCAAAUCCACCAUGAGAUCCGAACCUGAUAGUAUGCCGCGUCCUUCGGGACAAGGCAAUAGUGCGCGUAAGCAUGCUGCCGAGAAAAUCCGCUAAACUUAAUCCUGCAGGUACCCGUACCGCAAACGGACACACGUAGUCGGGUUGAAUAUACUAAGGCGCUUGAGUGAUUCACGGUUAAGGAACUAGGCAAAUUGACCCUGUAACUUCGGGAUAAAGGGUCCCUGCUGAGAGGUAGGGCGCAGAGAAUAGGUCCAGGCAACUGUUUAACAAAAACACAGGGCUGUGCAAAAUUGAAAGAUGAAGUAUACAGCCUGACACCUGCCCGGUGCUGGAAGGUUAAGAGGAGAUGUCAUCGCAAGAGAAGCAUUGAAUUGAAGCCCCAGUAAACGGCGGCCGUAACUAUAACGGUCCUAAGGUAGCGAAAUUCCUUGUCGGGUAAGUUCCGACCUGCACGAAUGGUGUAAUGAUCUGGACACUGUCUCAACCGUGAGCUCGGUGAAAUUGUAGUAUCGGUGAAGAUGCCGAUUACCCGCGAUGGGACGAAAAGACCCCGUGAACCUUUACUAUAGCUUAUCAUUGAAUCUGGGCACGUGAUGUGUAGGAUAGGUCGGAGGCUUUGAAGCAGGUACGCCAGUAUUUGUGGAGCCGCUGUUGAAAUACGACCCUUUAUUUGUUUGGAUUCUAACCCGUGGAACGGGGACAUUGAUUGGUGGGUAGUUUGACUGGGGUGGUCGCCUCCAAAAGCGUAACGGAGGCUUCUAAAGGUGCCCUCCGGCCGAUUGGUAACCGGCCUUAGAGUGUAAUGGCAUAAGGGCGCUUGACUGGGAGACU
rnacentral:rRNA from 1 species